GGCGCUGUGGCUUAGCUGGUCAAAUCGCCUUUCUUGUAAACAGGAGAUCCUGGGCUCAAAUCUAAGCAGUGCUU
rnacentral:tRNA from 1 species